rnacentral:rRNA from 1 species
CAGUAGCCACGGUAAUACAGAGGGUGCAAGCGUUAAUCGGAAUUACUGGGCGUAAAGCGCGCGUAGGUGGUUUGUUAAGUUGGAUGUGAAAUCCCCGGGCUCAACCUGGGAACUGCAUUCAAAACUGACUGACUAGAGUAUGGUAGAGGGUGGUGGAAUUUCCUGUGUAGCGGUGAAAUGCGUAGAUAUAGGAAGGAACACCAGUGGCGAAGGCGACCACCUGGACUAAUACUGACACUGAGGUGCGAAAGCGUGGGGAGCAAACAGGAUUAGAUACCCGCGUAGUCCCUGUCUCUUAUAC